rnacentral:rRNA from 1 species
UGCCAGACUCCUACGGGAGGCAGCAGUGAGGAAUAUUGGUCAAUGGGCUUACGCCUGAACCAGCCAAGUCGCGUGAGGGAAGACUGCCCUAUGGGUUGUAAACCUCCUUUGUCAGGGAGCAACGCCGGCUACGUGUAGCCGGACUGAGAGUACCUGAAGAAAAAGCAUCGGCUAACUCCGUGCCAGCAGCCGCGGUAAUACGGAGGAUGCGAGCGUUAUCCGGAAUUAUUGGGCGUAAAGGGUGCGUAGAUGGCAUAGUAAGUCUUUUGUAAAAAUGCUGGGCUCAACCCAGUAGGGCAAAAGAUACUGCAAAGCUAGAGUAUGACAGAGGCAAGUGGAACUACAUGUGUAGCGGUAAAAUGCGUAAAUAUAUGUAAGAACACCGGUGGCGAAGGCGGCUUGCUGGGUCGAUACUGACAUUGAGGCACGAAAGCGUGGGGAGCAAACAGGAUUAGAUACCCUAGUAG